UGAACGCUAGCGGCAGGCUUAACACAUGCAAGUCGAGGGGUAUUGGUUUCGGACCAAGAGACCGGCGCACGGGUGCGUAACGCGUAUGCAAUCUACCUUUUGCAGAGGGAUAGCCCAGAGAAAUUUGGAUUAAUACCUCAUAGUAUAUGGACUUCGCAUGGAGACCAUAUUAAAGUUCCAACGGCAAAAGAUGAGCAUGCGUCCCAUUAGCUAGAUGGUAAGGUAACGGCUUACCAUGGCUACGAUGGGUAGGGGGUCCUGAGAGGGAGAUCCCCCACACUGGUACUGAGACACGGACCAGACUCCUACGGGAGGCAGCAGUGAGGAAUAUUGGACAAUGGGCGCAAGCCUGAUCCAGCCAUGCCGCGUGCAGGAUGACGGUCCUAUGGAUUGUAAACUGCUUUACACAGGAAGAAACAACGCUACGUGUAGCGUCUUGACGGUACUGUGAGAAUAAGGAUCGGCUAACUCCGUG
rnacentral:rRNA from 1 species